ACGUAGGGUGCAAGCGUUAAUCGGAAUUACUGGGCGUAAAGCGUGCGCAGGCGGUUCGGAAAGAGAGGUGUGAAAUCCCCGGGCUUAACCUGGGAACUGCGUUUGUAACUGGCAGACUGGAGUGUGGCAGAGGGGGGUGGAAUUCCAAGUGUAGCAGUGAAAUGCGUAGAUAUUUGGAGGAACACCGAUGGCGAAGGCAGCCCCCUGGGCUAACACUGACGCUCAUGCACGAAAGCGUGGGGAGCAAACAGGA
rnacentral:rRNA from 1 species